CCAUAGGUUAAUGAGGCGAACCGGGGGAACUGAAACAUCUAAGUACCCCGAGGAAAAGAAAUCAACCGAGAUUCCCCCAGUAGCGGCGAGCGAACGGGGAGCAGCCCAGAGCCUGAAUCAGUGUGUGUGUUAGUGGAAGCGUCUGGAAAGGCGCGCGAUACAGGGUGACAGCCCCGUACACAAAAAUGCACAUGCUGUGAGCUCGAUGAGUAGGGCGGGACACGUGGUAUCCUGUCUGAAUAUGGGGGGACCAUCCUCCAAGGCUAAAUACUCCUGACUGACCGAUAGUGAACCAGUACCGUGAGGGAAAGGCGAAAAGAACCCCGGCGAGGGGAGUGAAAAAGAACCUGAAACCGUGUACGUACAAGCAGUGGGAGCACGCUUAGGCGUGUGACUGCGUACCUUUUGUAUAAUGGGUCAGCGACUUAUAUUCUGUAGCAAGGUUAACCGAAUAGGGGAGCCGAAGGGAAACCGAGUCUUAACUGGGCGUUAAGUUGCAGGGUAUAGACCCGAAACCCGGUGAUCUAGCCAUGGGCAGGUUGAAGGUUGGGUAACACUAACUGGAGGACCGAACCGACUAAUGUUGAAAAAUUAGCGGAUGACUUGUGGCUGGGGGUGAAAGGCCAAUCAAACCGGGAGAUAGCUGGUUCUCCCCGAAAGCUAUUUAGGUAGCGCCUCGUGAAUUCAUCUCCGGGGGUAGAGCACUGUUUCGGCAAGGGGGUCAUCCCGACUUACCAACCCGAUGCAAACUGCGAAUACCGGAGAAUGUUAUCACGGGAGACACACGGCGGGUGCUAACGUCCGUCGUGAAGAGGGAAACAACCCAGACCGCCAGCUAAGGUCCCAAAGUCAUGGUUAAGUGGGAAACGAUGUGGGAAGGCCCAGACAGCCAGGAUGUUGGCUUAGAAGCAGCCAUCAUUUAAAGAAAGCGUAAUAGCUCACUGGUCGAGUCGGCCUGCGCGGAAGAUGUAACGGGGCUAAACCAUGCACCGAAGCUGCGGCAGCGACGCUUAUGCGUUGUUGGGUAGGGGAGCGUUCUGUAAGCCUGUGAAGGUGUACUGUGAGGUAUGCUGGAGGUAUCAGAAGUGCGAAUGCUGACAUAAGUAACGAUAAAGCGGGUGAAAAGCCCGCUCGCCGGAAGACCAAGGGUUCCUGUCCAACGUUAAUCGGGGCAGGGUGAGUCGACCCCUAAGGCGAGGCCGAAAGGCGUAGUCGAUGGGAAACAGGUUAAUAUUCCUGUACUUGGUGUUACUGCGAAGGGGGGACGGAGAAGGCUAUGUUGGCCGGGCGACGGUUGUCCCGGUUUAAGCGUGUAGGCUGGUUUUCCAGGCAAAUCCGGAAAAUCAAGGCCGAGGCGUGAUGACGAGGCACUACGGUGCUGAAGCAACAAAUGCCCUGCUUCCAGGAAAAGCCUCUAAGCAUCAGGUAACAUCAAAUCGUACCCCAAACCGACACAGGUGGUCAGGUAGAGAAUACCAAGGCGCUUGAGAGAACUCGGGUGAAGGAACUAGGCAAAAUGGUGCCGUAACUUCGGGAGAAGGCACGCUGAUACGUAGGUGAAGCGACUUGCUCGUGGAGCUGAAAUCAGUCGAAGAUACCAGCUGGCUGCAACUGUUUAUUAAAAACACAGCACUGUGCAAACACGAAAGUGGACGUAUACGGUGUGACGCCUGCCCGGUGCCGGAAGGUUAAUUGAUGGGGUUAGCGCAAGCGAAGCUCUUGAUCGAAGCCCCGGUAAACGGCGGCCGUAACUAUAACGGUCCUAAGGUAGCGAAAUUCCUUGUCGGGUAAGUUCCGACCUGCACGAAUGGCGUAAUGAUGGCCAGGCUGUCUCCACCCGAGACUCAGUGAAAUUGAACUCGCUGUGAAGAUGCAGUGUACCCGCGGCAAGACGGAAAGACCCCGUGAACCUUUACUAUAGCUUGACACUGAACAUUGAGCCUUGAUGUGUAGGAUAGGUGGGAGGCUUUGAAGUGUGGACGCCAGUCUGCAUGGAGCCGACCUUGAAAUACCACCCUUUAAUGUUUGAUGUUCUAACGUGGACCCGUGAUCCGGGUUGCGGACAGUGUCUGGUGGGUAGUUUGACUGGGGCGGUCUCCUCCUAAAGAGUAACGGAGGAGCACGAAGGUUGGCUAAUCCUGGUCGGACAUCAGGAGGUUAGUGCAAUGGCAUAAGCCAGCUUGACUGCGAGCGUGACGGCGCGAGCAGGUGCGAAAGCAGGUCAUAGUGAUCCGGUGGUUCUGAAUGGAAGGGCCAUCGCUCAACGGAUAAAAGGUACUCCGGGGAUAACAGGCUGAUACCGCCCAAGAGUUCAUAUCGACGGCGGUGUUUGGCACCUCGAUGUCGGCUCAUCACAUCCUGGGGCUGAAGUAGGUCCCAAGGGUAUGGCUGUUCGCCAUUUAAAGUGGUACGCGAGCUGGGUUUAGAACGUCGUGAGACAGUUCGGUCCCUAUCUGCCGUGGGCGCUGGAGAACUGAGGGGGGCUGCUCCUAGUACGAGAGGACCGGAGUGGACGCAUCACUGGUGUUCGGGUUGUCAUGCCAAUGGCACUGCCCGGUAGCUAAAUGCGGAAGAGAUAAGUGCUGAAAGCAUCUAAGCACGAAACUUGCCCCGAGAUGAGUUCUCCCUGACCCUUUAAGGGUCCUGA
rnacentral:rRNA from 1 species